rnacentral:rRNA from 1 species
GCGUGGAGGACGAAGGUUUUCGGAUCGUAAACUCCUGUCCAGAGGGACGAAGCCAGUGACGGUACCUCUGGAGGAAGCCCCGGCUAACUCCGUGCCAGCAGCCGCGGUAAUACGGGGGGGGCAAGCGUUGUUCGGAAUUACUGGGCGUAAAGGGCGCGUAGGCGGCCUCGGAAGUCAUGGGUGAAAGCCCCGGGCUCAACCCGGGAAUGGCCUGUGAAACCACGGGGCUGGAGUGCUGGAGAGGGAAGCGGAAUUCCCAGUGUAGCGGUGAAAUGCGU